rnacentral:rRNA from 1 species
CAGAGGGUGCAAGCGUUAAUCGGAGUUACUGGGCGUAAAGGGCGCGUAGGCGGUUAAGUGAGUGUGAUGCGAAAGCCCUGGGCUUAACCUAGGAAGUGCAUCGCAAACGAUUUAACUGGAGUAGAUGAGAGGGUGGCGGAAUUUCCGGUGUAGCGGUGAAAUGCGUAGAGAUCGGAAGGAACGUCAAUGGCGAAGGCAGCCACCUGGCAUCAUACUGACGCUGAGGCGCGAAAGCGUGGGGAUCAAACAGGAUUAGAUACCCUGGUAGUCCACGCUGUAAACGAUGAGGACUAGAUGUUGGUAGGGGAACCUAUCAGUAUCGAAGCUAACGCGAUAAGUUCUCCGCCUGGGAAGUACGGCCGCAAGGUUG